UAGGGAAUCUUCCGCAAUGGACGAAAGUCUGACGGAGCAACGCCGCGUGAGUGAAGAAGGCUUUCGGUUCGUAAAACUCUGUUGUUAGGGAAGAAAAAAUGUAUAGUAACUAUAUACAAAAGAGACGGUACCUAACCAGAAAGCCACGGCUAACUACGUGCCAGCAGCCGCGGUAAUACGUAGGUGGCAAGCGUUGUCCGGAAUUAUUGGGCGUAAAGCGCGCGCAGGUGGUUUAGAAAGUCUGAUGUGAAAGCCCACGGCUCAACCGGGGAGGGUCAUUGGAAACUAAUAAACUUGAGUGCAGGAGAGAAAAGUGGAAUUCCUAGUGGAGCGGUGAAAUGCGGAGAGAUUAGGAGGAACACCGGUGGCGAAAGCGGCUUUUUGGCCUGCAACUGACACUGAGGCGCGAAAGCGUGGGGAGCAAACAGG
rnacentral:rRNA from 1 species